AGUGAACGCUGGCGGCAGGCUUAACACAUGCAAGUCGAGCGGGCAGCUUCGGAUGUCAGCGGCAGACGGGUGAGUAACACGUGGGAACGUACCCUUCGGUUCGGAACAACUCUGGGAAACUGGAGCUAAUACCGGAUACGCCCUUAUGGGGAAAGGUUUACUGCCGAAGGAUCGGCUCGCGUCUGAUUAGCUAGUUGGUGGGGUAACGGCCUACCAAGGCGCCGAUCAGUAGCUGGUCUGAGAGGAUGAUCAGCCACACUGGUGCUGAGGCACGGCCCAGACUCCUACGGGAGGCAGCAGUGGGGAAUAUUGGACAAUGGGCGCAAGCCUGAUCGAGCCAUGCCGCGUGAGUGAUGAAGGCCUUAGGGUUGUAAAGCUCUUUUGUCCGGGACGAUAAUGACGGUACCGGAAGAAUAAGCCCCGGCUAACUUCGUG
rnacentral:rRNA from 1 species